GUGUGUGCACAUAGAAACAUUUUGUUGAGCAAUUAGAUUCCAGAAGAAGGGUUGUUGUUACGGGUCGAGAGUCGAGUUCAUCCAUAAUGCUCUUUACAUAUAUGUAUUGUACGUAGUAGUGAGCUGUUUUAAGAGCUUAAUUUGUGGAAAUCUGAAAGCUAGCUUGUUUUGUUUUACAGUCUUUAUAUAUAGUUUUAGUAUUGACUUAGCUAGUACAUACAUUUUUUAUUGAUAAUUUUUGGUUCUUCGAGUUCUGUGAUCCUACUUAUAAUUGAUUUUUGAUUACAAGAUGCAUUUAAUUUGUACAUGAACUGUGUUUAGAUUUCAUGCAGUGUGCAUUAUUACUUUAGUAAUUUGGUUUCUGAUAUGUUCAACUGAAAGAAAUUUUUCAAAUUAUUUCGAGUGUAAGACCUUGAGGGUUUUCACUGAAAUUAAUUAUGGUUUUUCCAUAUAGUAGAUAUGAGUAACCAAUUUGAUGGGGUUCAGUCACCAAUUGCCAGUUGAGAUCAAGUGAACAAGUCUCUCUUUUUUUUCUUUUUUUUUUUCUCUGAAAGGGGAUCUAGAUCAAUAAUUUUAAACCUCACAGGAGCAAUUUAACUCCAGUGUGUAUCUACACAUACAUAUGUGAAUGAUCAAGAUUAGAGGACAUAAUAUAGAAACACGGUGGCCAAACAUAUUAAUUGUUAAUAAACAACUUAAAUUGCUCUGUGCAUUUACACGUCGUGUAUAAUAGAAUUUCUCCUUAUAUAUAUAACCUAAAACCCUCCUGUGUAUCUAUGUUUUUAUUCUCAUUUUGUUGAGAUCCCUAAUUGAACCAAGACUCUCAAUGUAUACUCCAACUGUACCAACUCUGCCAAUUCCACGAACCAAUAACUUUCGGAUUUGAGGAUCUUCUUCAUCAAAAUUGUACAUAACUAAUCGUUCUCCAAAAACCAUCAAAUCAUGAGAAUGGAGACCCUCAUUUUAGUCCACGAUCAGUGGCGUAGCCAGAAACCACAAGUAGAAGGGUCAAGAGUUU
rnacentral:lncRNA from 1 species